GAGUAAUGUCUGGGAAACUGCCUGAUGGAGGGGGAUAACUACUGGAAACGGUGGCUAAUACCGCAUAACGUCGCAAGACCAAAGAGGGGGACCUUCGGGCCUCUUGCCAUCAGAUGUGCCCAGAUGGGAUUAGCUUGUUGGUGAGGUAACGGCUCACCAAGGCGACGAUCCCUAGCUGGUCUGAGAGGAUGACCAGCCACACUGGAACUGAGACACGGUCCAGACUCCUACGGGAGGCAGCAGUGGGGAAUAUUGCACAAUGGGCGCAAGCCUGAUGCAGCCAUGCCGCGUGUAUGAAGAAGGCCUUCGGGUUGUAAAGUACUUUCAGCGGGGAGGAAGGUGUUGUGGUUAAUAACCGCAGCAAUUGACGUUACCCGCAGAAGAAGCACCGGCUAACUCCGUGCCAGCAGCCGCGGUAAUACGGAGGGUGCAAGCGUUAAUCGGAAUUACUGGGCGUAAAGCGCACGCAGGCGGUCUGUCAAGUCGGAUGUGAAAUCCCCGGGCUCAACCUGGGAACUGCAUUCGAAACUGGCAGGCUUGAGUCUUGUAGAGGGGGGUAGAAUUCCAGGUGUAGCGGUGAAAUGCGUAGAGAUCUGGAGGAAUACCGGUGGCGAAGGCGGCCCCCUGGACAAAGACUGACGCUCAGGUGCGAAAGCGUGGGGAGCAAACAGGAUUAGAUACCCUGGUAGUCCACGCCGUAAACGAUGUCUACUUGGAGGUUGUGCCCUUGAGGCGUGGCUUCCGGAGCUAACGCGUUAAGUAGACCGCCUGGGGAGUACGGCCGCAAGGUUAAAACUCAAAUGAAUUGACGGGGGCCCGCACAAGCGGUGGAGCAUGUGGUUUAAUUCGAUGCAACGCGAAGAACCUUACCUGGUCUUGACAUCCACAGAACUUUCCAGAGAUGGAUUGGUGCCUUCGGGAACUGUGAGACAGGUGCUGCAUGGCUGUCGUCAGCUCGUGUUGUGAAAUGUUGGGUUAAGUCCCGCAACGAGCGCAACCCUUAUCCUUUGUUGCCAGCGGUUAGGCCGGGAACUCAAAGGAGACUGCCAGUGAUAAACUGGAGGAAGGUGGGGAUGACGUCAAGUCAUCAUGGCCCUUACGACCAGGGCUACACACGUGCUACAAUGGCGCAUACAAAGAGAAGCGACCUCGCGAGAGCAAGCGGACCUCAUAAAGUGCGUCGUAGUCCGGAUUGGAGUCUGCAACUCGACUCCAUGAAGUCGGAAUCGCUAGUAAUCGUGGAUCAGAAUGCCACGGUGAAUACGUUCCCGGGCCUUGUACACACCGCCCGUCACACCAUGGGAGUGGGUUGCAAAAGAAGUAGGUAGCUUAACCUUCGGGAGGGCGCUUACCACUUUGUGAUUCAUGACUGGGGUGAAGUCGUAACAAGGUAACCGUAGGGGAACCUGCGGUUGGAUCACCUCCUUACCUUAAAGAAGC
rnacentral:rRNA from 2 species